rnacentral:rRNA from 1 species
GACGAACGCUGGCGGCGUGCCUAAUACAUGCAAGUAGAACGCAGUUGCGAGCGGGUGAGUAACGCGUAGGUAACUGUAUGGUAGAGGGGGAUAACUAUUGGAAAAGAUAGCUCAUACCGCAUACUACCAGAUGGACCUGCGUUGUAUUAGGUAGUUGGUGGGGUAACGGCCCACCAAGGCAACCAUACAUAGCCGACCUUGGAAGGGGGUCGGCCACACUGGGACUGAGACACGGGCCCGAAUCCUACGGGAGGCAGCAGUAGGGGAUCCUCGGGAAUGGGGGGAACCCUGACCCAGCAACGCCGCGUGAGUGAAGGAGGGUUUCGGAUCGGUAAGCUCUGGUGUUAAGGGAGCGGUACUUAACCAGAAAGGGACGGCUAACUACGUGCCAGCAGCCGCGGUAAUUC